rnacentral:rRNA from 1 species
CCUACGGGGGGCUGCAGUGGGGAAUAUUGCACAAUGGGCGCAAGCCUGAUGCAGCCAUGCCGCGUGUGUGAAGAAGGCCUUCGGGUUGUAAAGCACUUUCAGCGGGGAGGAAGGCGGUGAGGUUAAUAACCUCAUCGAUUGACGUUACCCGCAGAAGAAGCACCGGCUAACUCCGUGCCAGCAGCCGCGGUAAUACGGAGGGUGCAAGCGUUAAUCGGAAUUACUGGGCGUAAAGCGCACGCAGGCGGUCUGUCAAGUCGGAUGUGAAAUCCCCGGGCUCAACCUGGGAACUGCAUUCGAAACUGGCAGGCUAGAGGCUUGUAGAGGGGGGUAGAAGUCCAGGUGUAGCGGUGAAAUGCGUAGAGAUCUGGAGGAAUACCGGUGGCGAAGGCGGCCCCCUGGACAAAGACUGACGCUCAGGUGCGAAAGCGUGGGGAGCAAACAGGAUUAGAUACCCCUGUAGUC